AUGGUCUUUAAGCUGGAUUUCAGAAAGGCUUUCGACUCAGUGGCCUGGCCUGCCCUUGACAAAAUCCUGGCAAUACGUGGGUUCUCCCCAACCUUCCGCAGUUGGACCCAAAACAUCCUCCACAUAGGCAAAGCGGCCAUUCUACUGAACGGGAUCCCAGGCAACUGGAUUCAAUGCAAAAAUGGAUUGCGACAAGGUGAUCCGGUUUCUCCCUACCUCUUCCUCAUCGUCACCGACCUGCUUCAACAGCUCAUCCUCCAGAACUCUGAACCUGCUCUCCACCACCCCAUCUUCUCCCACCUGCCUCCCACUGUCCUCCAAUACGCCGAUGAUACGCUCAUGGUUGCAGCCGCCUCUCCUGCCACCGCCACAGCCCUUAAAGUAAUCCUAAACAAUUUUGCACACACCACGGGCCUCGCCAUCAACUUCUCCAAAACAACCUUAGCCACUCUACACACGGACGAUUCCAAGACUGCUGCCAUUGCCCUCGCCAUGGGGUGCUCAUGCGCCUCCUUCCCGCAAACUUACCUCAGUCUUCCUCUCGCCCCGACUAAACCUCUCACCAAUGCCUUCAACCCUUUGGUAGAACAUUCUAGGAAGUUACUUUUGGGCUGGCAUGCCAAACUUCUCGAUAAAGGCGAUCGGCUCAUCCUCAUUUCCACGGUUAUGGACUCAAUCCUUACCUAUUUCAUGUCUAUGUUUUGCAUCCCCAAGAAAACAAUCAAAACCUUUGACUCUCUGAGGAGGGCUUUUUUUGGGCAGGAGACGAUGCUUGCUCAGGUCCUCAAUGUCUGGAAAAAUGUCUGCUUACCAAAAAAAUUCGGUGGUUUAGGGCUCAAAAACCUGCAAGUUUAA
rnacentral:rRNA from 1 species